GUUAUUUAAACAUUAUCUAAUAUAAAUAAUAUAAAAUGGCAAGUGAUAAAUUGAUUACAUCAAUUUUCCCAUUAUUAAAGUGGCUUGAGUUGAGUCAGUAUGUUGGCAGCAGCCACUCAAUGUUAGUGAUGGCUGUUUAACAGUCUGAUGGCCUUGAGAUAGCUGUUUUUCAGUCUCUCGGUCCCAGCUUUGAUGCACCUGUACUGACCUCGCCUUCUGGAAGGUAGCGGGGUGAACAGGCGGUGGCUCGGGUGGUUGCUGUCCUUGAUGAUCUUUUUGGCCUUCCUGUGACAUCGGGUGGUGUAGAUGUCCUGGAGGGCACCGGUUUUGACUAGCAGAAGUUGCUUUUCUUAGCAGGUUACGAGAAUUAACGCAGCAGGUUAGGAUAAUUAGGUAAAGAUUAGCUAAAAUGCUAACAAUGUCCUCGACGCGACUCGAACCUAUCUACAACCAGGCCUGCCUUGAGAACAGACUUGAUUUACACUAAUGCGAUGCUCUGCGUCAAAUGGUCUGUGAGGGAAGACUCUUGAGAACAUAAGCUUUCUGUUCUACUCGAGCUAUUUUAUUUUGUAUUUUCAUGGACAAGUCUAAAUAUUUUUGAGCAGCUGCUAGCUGGAGGACAUGAAAUACCAUUUGACGCCAAUACAGUGCCGGGAAUUGCUUCAGUCCUUCAACCAAAGAGGUGAGAUCUUGAUCGAUAAAUGUAUCAUAUUUAUGUCAUUGUUAUGAAAAAAGGUGCUAUCUUGAUCCUAAAAUGGUUAUUUGGCUGUCCCCAUAAGAGAACCCUUUGAAGAUCUUUUUUUGAUUCCAGCUACAUGUAUAACCCUUUUGGUUCCAGGUAGAACUCUUCUGGGUUCCAUGUAGAACCCUUUUCACAGAGGGUUCUACCUGGAACCCAAAAGGGUUCUCCUACGGGGACAGCCAAAGAACCCUUUCGGAACCCUUUUUCCUAAGAGUAUAUAUACACACACGCACAAGGUUAAAAAGGUUCUGUAAAUAGUUAGUUUGUUUGCCCUCAAAAUAAAUGGUUAAUGCUACGAGGGAGCGAGGUAUAUGCAAUAAAAGGGACUUAAAUUACAAAAAUACAUAAAACUACUAAAAUAUGCAAAUGUAUCUGUAAAUUGUUUGCUUGUCCUCUUAUGCUGGUAUGGAGUGCAGCGCGUAGCCUAACACAGUUUUUUUUUAAAGAAAAUUAAGAAUGGAUAUGAUCUGUAACAAUGGAUAGGACACGUGUCCACCUCCAAGCAUCAGUGUCCUCCAGGAACAGUGGCCUUUCCUUUUCACCAAGUUAUGGCUCUGCGACCACUUCAAUACUUGUGAUUGACAGUCACCUGACUCAAGCUCUCCUGAACAAGGGUAAGAGAAUUGUAAACUUUUUUAAAAGCCAAAAGACCAAGUUGAGGAGAGAGAUCCAGUGCCUGCUAAAUGAAACCGACAGUUACAUCAAAGGCAAUGACGAUCUAACAGCCACUGCUGCCAUUCUUUUGUUGAUGACCCAGAGGACGACGAAUCUCUGUUCCUCAUGGCAGAUGUAAUGAAUAGUGUUUUUAUGUUUAUAUGAUUAAUGGUGUUUAUACUGUACUAUUACACAUGAUUUGUAUAUAUGUACAGUUGAAGUCAGAAGUUUACAUACACCUUAGCCAAAUACAUUUAUACUCAGUUUUUCACAAUUCCUGACAUUUAAUCCUAGUUACAAUUUGCUGUUUUAGGUCGGUUAGGAUCACCACUUUAUUUUAAGAAUGUGUAAUGUCAGAUUAAUAGUAGAGAGAAUGAUUUAUUUCAGCUUUUAUUUCAUUCAUCACAUUCUCAGUGGAAGUUUACAUACACACAAUUAGUAUAUGGUAGCAUUGCCUUUAAAUUGUUUAACUUGGGUCAAACGUUUCAGGUAGCCUUCCACAAGCUUCCCACAAUAAGUUGGGUGAAUUUUGGCCCAUUCCUCCUGACAGAGCUGAUGUAACUGAGUCAGGUUUGUAGGCCUCCUUGCUGGCAUACGCUUUUUCAGUUCUGCCAACACAUUUUCUAUAGGAUUGAGGUCAGGGCUUUGUGAUGACCACUCCAAUACCUUGACUUUGUUGUCCUUAAGCCAUUUUGCAACAACUUUGGAAGUAUGCUUGGGGUCAUUGUCCAUUUGGAAGACCCAUUUGCGACCAAGCUUUAACUUCCUGACUGAUGUCUUGAGAUGUUGCUUCAAUAUAUCCACAUCAUUUUCCCACCUCAUGAUGCCAUCUAUUUUGUGCACCAGUCCCUGCUGCAGCAAAGCACCCCCACAACAUAAUGCUGCCACCCCCGUGCUUCACAGUUGGGAUGGUGUUCUUCGGCUUGCAAGCCUCCCCUUUUUCCUCCAAACAUAAUGAUUGUCAUUAUGGCCAAACAGUUCUAUUUUUGUUUCAUCAGGCCAGAGGACAUUUCUAGAAAAAGUACGAUCUUUGUCCCCAUGUGCAGUUGCAAACCGUAGUCUGGCUUUUUUAUGGGGGUUUUGGAGCAGUGGCUUCUUCCUUGCUGAGCGGCCUUUCAGGUUAUGUCAAUAUAGGGCUCGUUUUACCGUGGAUAUAAAUCCUUUUGUACCCAUUUCCUCCAGCAUCUUCACAAGGUCCUUUGCUGUUGUUCUGGGAUUGAUCUGCACUUUUCGCACCAAAGUACGUUCAUCCCUAGGAGACAGAACACGUCUCCUUCCUGAGCGGUAUGACGGCUGUGUGGUCCCAUGGUGUUUAUACUUGCGUACUAUUGUUUGUACAGAUGAACAUGGUACCUUCAGGCGUUUGGAAAUUGCUCCCAAGGAUGAACCAGACUUGUGGAGGUCUAAAUUCUUUUCUUCUGAGGUCUUGGCUGAUUUCUUUUGAUUUUCCCAUGAUGUCAAGCAAAGACGAACUGGGUUUGAAGGUAAUACGUCCACAGGUACACCUCCAAUUGACUCAAAUAAUGUCAAUUAGCCUAUCAGAAGCUUCUAAAGCCAUGACAUCAUUUUCUGGAAUUUUCCAAGCUGUUUAACUUCUGACCCACUGGAGUUGUAAAUUAUAAAUGAAAUAAUUUGUCUGUAAACAAUUGUUGGAAAAAUUAUUUGUGUCGUGUACUUUUGUGUAUUUCAGGAAAUAUUCUAUUGGGUUCCUCAAAAUGGAUGGUGUCGAUCGAGAGGAGAGUGGUCUGUGUUUUGGACAGUAAGUCCAACUUUGCUGCUGCCCUCUCUGUGCUCUUCAGCACUUUCUAUGUUUUUAACAUAGAAUAACAGGAGUUGGCCUCUGCAACCUUGGAGCUGAUAGAGGUUCCUGGUUUGAAUAAACCCUUAAGGAACCAAAUGCACAGCGAAAGCAGGAGUGAGCCGCAAGACCGGAAAGGUCGUUCAGAGGAAGUCAUUGCCAAUUGACCAAGAUGUUACACGCUUUCUCGCAGACCUGAAGGAGUUUGAUAGGAAAAACUCCAACAUAAAUCCUGCCAUGUGGGUUGGGUCAGCAAAUGAUCUGUUUGCUCCAUCCCGGAGCCUGUGUUGUCUUGAGGUAGCAUGCUUCUCUGGCUCCAGUCUAGCCCUGCUCUCUCCUCUCUAUCCACUUUUCUCUCAGCCCCUUUCUCUCUCGAUCUCUCUCUCUCUCUCGUUUCUCUCUCAACGACAGCCAGGCAAGCAGUUCUUGUUAUUGUUUUUUGUAAAAAUGUCUCCCUGUUCAACUGUUGUUUCCCUAUUUUUCAUUGAUCUGUUUAGAGAUUUUUUAAAUCUUACAUAAUCCUGUAUUUUUAAGAAUGACCUAUUCUGAUGUUUUGGUUUGUGUAUGGUGAAGUACAUUACUGACCAUUAUUUGUCAAUGUUCUUAUCAUUGUAUCUCUUUCUCUCUCUCUCCCCUACUAUCUGGAGUUGUAAUGUUGCUCUUUUCAAAUGUUGUUCUUUGUGGUUAAAGUGCAUUUCAAGUGAAAUUCUUGUUAUGAAUUUGAAUAAAUAUAUAUAUUUGUACA
rnacentral:lncRNA from 1 species